rnacentral:rRNA from 1 species
ACGUUUACGUUAUGCUCGUAGAUGUCGCCCAAGGAUGAGGCCGCGACCGAUCAGGUUGUUGGUGAGGUAAUGGCUCACCAAGCCUUUUACCGGUGCGGGCCGUGAGAGCGGGAGCCCGGAGAUGGGCACUGAGACAAGGGCCCAGGCCCUACGGGGCGCAGCAGUCGCGAAAACUUUGCAAUACACGAAAGUGUGACAGGGCUAUCCCGAGUGCCAUCCGCUGAGGAAGGCUUUUACCCAGUCUAGAACGCUGGGGGAAUAAGGAGAGGGCAAGUCUGGUGUCAGCCGCCGCGGUAAUACCAGCUCUCCGAGUGGUGUGGAUGUUUAUUGGGCCUAAAGCAUCCGUAGCUGGCUGAGUUAGUCCCUUGUUAAAUCCACCGAAUUAAUCGUUGGAUUGCGGGGGAUACUGCUCGGCUAGGGGACGAGAGAGGCAGACGGUAUUUCCGGGGUAGGGGUGAAAUCCUAUAAUCCCGGGAAGACCACCAGUGGCGAAGGCUGUCUGCUAGAACGCGCCCGACGGUGAGGGAUGAAAGCUGGGGGAGCGAACCGGAUUAGAUACCCGGGUAGUCCCAGCUGUAAACGAUGCAGGCUAGGUGUUUGGACGGCCACGUGCCGUUCUAGUGCCGCAGGGAAGCUGUUAAGCCUGCCGCCUGGGGAGUACGAUCGCAAGAUUGAAACUUAAAGGAAUUGGCGGGGGAGCACCACAAGGGGUGAAGCUUGCGGUUUAAUUGGAUUCAACGCCGGAAAUCGAAUUCCCGCG